AAAUUAAAAGAUGAAAACCCUACCCUACAAACCCAGCCCACACGCUUCAGUUUCACUCUCACUUUCCACUCUCUCUCACGUUCAUCAAAGUUCAGCCUACACUCCACAUUCCUUUCACGCCAAAUCACCCUCUGCCACCGCCUCCACACGCCACCCUCCUCACGUCGACUUGAUCAUCGGCUUCUCGUCUCAGUGAUCUCAUGGUGAGUCUCUGUUUUGAUGCUCUUUUCUUCUGAUGCUCUUUUCUCACGCUGGCUUGAUCAUCGGCUUCUCAUCUCAGUGAUCUCACGAACUCGUGAGUGAUGUUGCAUUAACGUCGGAACUUGGCAUGUCCACACCAACACCGAUUGAAGUUGAUGGUUGACGGGUGGUAUUGAUGUUGAUAUGUACACUUUUUGAUAUGUAUAGUUGUACACUUUUGAUAUGUACAUUUUUUGCUAUUAGACACUAGUAGACAGUGGCCUACAUAUAUAGAUGGGCUUUUAUUUUGAGCUUUGAUAGUGGCUGGCCUAUACAUAAUACAUAAAAAAUAUAUGAUACAUUAGGCAAUAGGCAAUGACAUAUGGCCAAUUUAUUUUGAGUCUUUGCCCAAAUAUUAAAUAUGGACAGUGUAUAUGUUGACGUUGACAUUGACAUAUAGCCAAUUUAUUUUGAGUCUUUGGCUAUAAUGCUAUUAUGUAGGUAACAUAUGGACAAUAUGUGGACAUUGACAUAUUACUAAUGAAGUAAUGAAAUAUGCACUAGUUAUUUUA